rnacentral:lncRNA from 1 species
GUCUGAUGUGACAAAGGUAACUCAUCCAUCAUUUGUUAGUGAGACGCCAUAACUAAAUUGAUGAUUUUUUCCCUCUAAUUUGUUGGAGAUGCUCUAUGAAAAUUUAGUGUUCAGCGCUGUUGUUCCCAUGCUUUAGGAUACAUCAUGUUUUCACAGCCGAAACAAGAUUCAGCUGGUUUGACUACAAAAAAACGUUUCACUUAGUUUUGUUAUAAUAUUUCCAUCAGAUACAUAUGAUUGCAGUUAUUAAGUCCAUUCCACAUUUUUUGUCAUACAUAGUUGCAAUUUAAAAGAUGGCCAUUUUGUCGUUAAUGCAGGUUCAAAUUAAUCAUGGAGGUUAUUUGUAUCGAUUCCAAGUUCCUAACGGAACAUAGCUCCCUUUUAUAGACAACUUCAAUAGAUAAUGUGUAACUUCAACAUUGGUGAGGAUGAUUUUUCAUAUAUGCAGUGCUAAGGAUCAAGAAAACUGAAUAUCAUUGAAAUAUAUUGCAACCCUUUCCCGUAGCAGCGCGUGAGAUAUCAUCUAGUAGUAGAUACCAGGCACUGCAUACAUAUGCCGGGGGUAGAGAUUUCAGUGAUUGAAAUUUAGGUGCAUGCCAGCAUUCAGUGUCUCAAACAUCACUCUAGAUACUCAGUCUGCUAUAAUUAUUACUACUCAUGUUUGACAAACAAUCGUGCACUUUGCCUUCCGAAUGAAUUGGCCUUCACUUGCCCUUCUCGUCCGUGUAGCUUACAUGGCCCAGGGCCACAUGUUUCUACCUUUUCUUUCUAGCUUCCCCCUUUUGUGACAGAACUUCAAGAUGGAGAGUAGCAGUGAUUUUGAAGGUUCUGCCGAUGCAGGUAAAGUGGAGGAAAAUGUUGAUGCGUGUUGCGAAGUAUUGGAAAGCACCCACCGAGCAAUGAUCAGUCAGGCGGUUACAAGUAGCAAGAAACGAGCAGGAAAGCUACAAGCACGCUCGCUAACAGUGUCACGUAAACUCUGGCAGGGUCUAUCAAGCUGAAUGUUGAUGCUGCUUUUGACGGUGAUCUGCUGGAAGGGAACAGGAGCAUCGUGGCGGAUGCUCUCGUACGGCCGAGGGCCCUGGCGCGGUAUCAUGUUACCGCAAUCGGUGGGAGAAUCGAGUGAUCGUCAACGCCUAGUUGAUGAAGUCCAUUUUGUUGUCAAGUAGGAAACGUACAGGGCUGAAUCAACCGGAGAACGACCGUAAGGAACACUAGCAAUUACUACAUUGUUUAUGGCUUAUAGUUGAGAACUCCCAGUAAAGCUUUGCUCGUGUUUCUGAAAAGAGUUCAUGCUUCACACAGACACAGGGUACCUCUU